AUAAAGUAAUAACACUGUUGAGUGAAUUGUUACCUGGCUGAGUGGCUGGAGCUGGCCGGAGCGUGGAAGGCUUCCACGGAAGUUGAGGUUGGAGCUUUGCGAUUAACCUGCAGCGUGGCCGUUUUGAGUCUGGAGCGUGGCUGCUUGCUAGGGAUUUAGAUGGUUUGAGAUCUGGAGCGUACAACAAACAAUAUCAUUUAGUUAAUAUAUAUAUAUAUAUAAAAACUUAACCAUGUACUCGGGUAACUGGGUACACUGAAAAAUCAAUUUUUCUGAGGGCCGGGUAUUUUUUUAUAAAAUUAUUUGGUUUUUUUAUCCGGGUCGACGGGUCAGGUCAACCGGGUCGGGUAAUUUUGUACACCCCUAAUAAGAACAAUUAAGACACACAUAUUCAUGAUGUAUCGAUACCGGAAGGGGUAGUAUCGAUACCAUUUUUGGAAUGAAAACAUCGAAUCUAAUUAGGGUACCGACACCCAAGUAUGGUAUUGAUACCGUUAUAAAGGAAGUAUCGGUACUGUACCUUGGGUACCGAUACUACUUAAUAGAGAAAAUGUGAAUUAUGUUCAUUAAAUAGUUAAGUUAUUAAGAUCGAGCUAUAAUGUCUUGGAAAUCGUAUUUAUGUAGAUACUGAGCAUAAACGUGUUCCGGAACAAGUGACGAGUAAGAUCGAUCGAGGGAAAGACAAUGAAAUAUAGAUCGGUCCCAAUGUCUCAAUAUCCGCUAAUGCUCGUAUAGGAGCAGCUGUAAGGCUCAUCAGUUGUAUCAUUCUCGAUGGUGUUGAAAUCAUGGCUGAAGGAGACUAUAAUACCAAACUCGGAAUCACAAUUCUUGGAGAAGCAGUGGCUGUUGAAGAUGAAGUAGUGGUGACAGAUAGCAUCGUUCUUCCGAACAAGACACUAAACGCGAGCGUUCAAGAUGAAAUACUUCUAUGAUAUUUGUAUCCACUCCAAUCACGGCAUUAGAAUAAGAGUAAUUUCGGUUGUUGGACCGACGUUUUAUUUAUUUGAUUGUCUCAGAUUCAUUAGAGAAUACUGGUACAUUUGAUCAGCUUGAAAAGUUAAAACAGGUACUCUACAGUUGAUAAGCUUGAAGAAUCUGGCCAUGGAACGUUAGCUGUGAUCAUCUGCUCAUUAUACUCGAACUCGACAGGUGUCCCGUCGAUUUUGCACACCAUCGGCUUUUCCGAAGCGUACACCCUCAUUUCUCCACUUCCUUUAACUCCAACCCUCGCCACAUUCUCAUCAUCCUCCAACACCAUUGACAGAAUUGCACCCCCUGAAUUCAGCAUGUUCACCAGUCCGAUCGGAGCGAAUCGGAUGUUUUUUCUCGGUAACAUUGUCACAGGGGAGACUGUAAGUAGCUCGUAAUUGAAUGGUUCGAGUGAAAUCUCUACUUUAUCAGAUGAUUUCAUCAGCGUUAGCUUCCUAUUCUGGUACAUGUACACAGCAAAGAUGCCGGCACUGCUCGCCGGAACAGGUCUCUUCCUGUUGCUCCACUCGAUGUCUUUGGGGCUGGCAAAGCAGCCUACCAUGGCUGAAAACUGAGGCGCACUCUCGUUCCGUCGGGAUUCACGGCACCAUCCUCCACCUUGACAGUUGAAUAGUCCUAACACUCCUGUAUACUGAUGACACAAGGCAAAUGAUUCAAAUAUUCACACCUUUGGCAAUGCAAAUGGCAGUGAGAUUAUCAUCUUACCUUGUUGAGAUUCCAAAUCUUGAGCAUUGUUUUACCGUCAUGCAAAGGAUCUUCGAAAAGACAAUCUCUCGUCGGGGUUGCAUAGUGUUGGCAUCUCAAGAUGGAUCCGUCGGGCAACGCAAGGCUCUUCAGCAACUGGAAGUUGUGUUGUCCGACGGAGUCGCUCACAUAAACCGGUCCACCGGAUAUAGCUCGAGACGCGGCAUGGAACUCAGCACAUUGGUGAGUUGAUUGGAACAUGUCCCAAUCCGGGUGUAUGAAAUUCCCCAUCCACAAGCUGUUGUAGGCGCAAUGAACCAUGUGGCAGCCCUGAAGCCAAUACGUCCCGUUCGGAUCUUUCGAGGGGUCAGUGCACCAGAAAUCAUCGCCUACGUAGACAAGCACAUAACAUUUCGAGUUAAACCCUACACCAUGCAUAGAGAAGUCAAUAUGUUCCGUCGUGUUUCGGUUUUGAAAUACAUACCGACACGACCGAGUGAAAUGGCCUCCGUUCCGAGGAGGAAGAAGUCG